CACGUAGGGUGCGAGCGUUGUCCGGAAUUAUUGGGCGUAAAGAGCUCGUAGGCGGUGUGUCGCGUCGGCCGUGAAAAACCUGCAGCUUAACUGUGGGCUUGCGGUCGAUACGGGCAUCACUGGAGUUCGGCAGGGGAGACUGGAAUUCCUGGUGUAGCGGUGAAAUGCGCAGAUAUCAGGAGGAACACCGGUGGGCGAAGGCGGGGUCUCUGGGCCGAUACUGAC
rnacentral:rRNA from 1 species